rnacentral:rRNA from 1 species
UACGUAGGCAGCGAGCGUUGUUCGGAAUUACUGGGCGUAAAGAGUGUGUAGGCGGUGCUCUAAGUCUGUUGUGAAAUCUCCCGGCUCAACUGGGAGGGUGCGGCGGAAACUGGAGUGCUCGAGUGUGGGAGAGGUAAGCGGAAUUCCUGGUGUAGCGGUGAAAUGCGUAGAUAUCAGGAGGAACACCUGUGGUGUAGACAGCUUACUGGACCAUUGCUGACGCUGAGACACGAAAGCGUGGGUAGCAAACAGG